rnacentral:rRNA from 1 species
GUCGAACGGUAGAGGGGGCAACCCCUCGAGAGUGGCGAACGGGUGAGUAAUAUAUCGGAACGUGCCCAGUCGUGGGGGAUAACGUAGUGAAAAUUACGCUAAUACCGCAUACGAUCUAAGGAUGAAAGCGGGGGAUCGCAAGACCUCGCGCGAUUGGAGCGGCCGAUAUCAGAUUAGGUAGUUGGUAGGGUAAAGGCCUACCAAGCCAACGAUCUGUAGCUGGUCUGAGAGGACGACCAGCCACACUGGAACUGAGACACGGUCCAGACUCCUACGGGAGGCAGCAGUGGGGAAUUUUGGACAAUGGGCGAAAGCCUGAUCCAGCCAUUCCGCGUGCAGGAUGAAGGCCCUCGGGUUGUAAACUGCUUUUGUACAGAACGAAAAGGUCUCUAUUAAUACUAGGGGCUCAUGACGGUACUGUAAGAAUAAGUACCGGCUAACUACGUGCCAGCAGCCGCGGUAAUACGUAGGGUGCAAGCGUUAAUCGGAAUUACUGGGCGUAAAGCGUGCGCAGGCGGUUAUAUAAGUCAGAUGUGAAAUCCCCGGGCUCAACCUGGGAACUGCAUUUGAGACUGUAUAGCUAGAGUACGGUAGAGGGGGAUGGAAUUCCGCGUGUAGCAGUGAAAUGCGUAGAUAUGCGGAGGAACACCGAUGGCGAAGGCAAUCCCCUGGACCUGUACUGACGCUCAUGCACGAAAGCGUGGGGAGCAAACAGGAUUAGAUACCCUGGUAGUCCACGCCCUAAACGAU